rnacentral:sRNA from 1 species
CAUGAAAUACUGUAACUUGGGGAUUGUAAAUGAAUGGAUACAAUAGGUUAAGGCCCAAGAUGUUUGAAAUGAAUGCAAUAUUAAUAGAUGCAUAUAUACAUGACAUAUUGUGGUUAAUUUUAAAACUACUGUGCCUUAACGUGUUUCUUAAACUUUUGUAGUAAAUGAACAUUUGAAAUCCAUUUUGAUAAACCUGCUGUUAAUGUUUUUUUUCCCCCCUUGUGAAUGUUUUCUAACUUUGUCUUGGUAAUUGCAAUUUAACUAGGUGCGGUGGCUACUAAAGUUCGAAGGCACGAUAUGCGUGUCCAUCCUUACCAAAGGAUUGUGACCGCAGACCGAGCCGCCACCGGCAACUAACCUAUGACCUUCUGACCUCUGAACUCUUCACCCAAUGAUGACCUGACCAUGCCUGCCUGCUGAUCAGUUAACUGGUAAUCGCCUUUGCUUGCCUGUCGUCAGUGCAGCGAGCUGAGGCACUUGUCCGUUCGUCUUACCAUCUAACCAAACAAAAGACAAAGAAAUUGUUGUCCUCCAACUCAGCUUUUUUUUUUUUUUUUUUUCCUGUUUGGGUGAAAGUGGUUCUAGAACCUGCACUGAAUAGUAGUAAAGCAAUAAGGCCCAAUUCAUCCCACAGCACUGAUCAUCUUUUAAUAUCCCACCCUAAGCGAACGGUAAGAAGGCCUCUCUUAAGAAGGGGAGACAGAUGGUCCUUAACUACUCAAUGACAGAGGCAGUUACUGUGAGAGACUUCUAGGAAUCUUUUUCUUCUCAUAGCGAAGUCAAAGCUCUCUCUGAAUGUACUGUGUGAUGAUGCAUCAUGCAUGAACCUUCGGUCAGGGAUAUCAUUGGUGAAGUGAUUUCAAAAAGUAUUCAAAAUUUGAUAUGCUGUUUAGUCACUACAGUGCCCUCAAAGGGCAGAAGUUGCAGCCUUUUUUAUAUUGCCUGCCAAAAUUUGAAGUAUUAGAAGAAAGUGUGCCAUGAGAGAAAAACUUAAGGAGUUUUGAAAAGUAAUGCAAAUAACAAAACUGCAACACUAUUUUUAAAAAGAUAAAUAUCUGAGUUAAAAUUACUGAAUCUUUAUUUUACACCUAAAAAAAUAUG